CAUCGUUUCCUCCCCACUCCCCAACCUCCCUCGCUCGCCAAAAUAGCCAACGCCGCCGCUACACCCGAGGCGCCGACCUCCUCUUCCCGCUCCCCUCCCUCUCUUCCUCGCUAAUGCAGCCGGCCAGCAACAGAUCCUAUAACCUCCUCAGCGUUCCUGAUGUUGGGGUCGACGGCAGCGGUGCCGCCAUAUCAACAUCAGGGCUGCCCUUCUGGAUUCCUCCACCGCCUCCCUCAUGCGCUCAAGGGGUUGUUCCUCCACUGUUUCCCUCGCCACAUGCAGCCGGCGUUUCGUCGCCGUCAACUUCCGCGAGGAGAGAAGGAAAGACCCCCAAAAGCCCCUCCAAAGAAGAGGUUUAUGCCACCGGUAGUGCCUGUAGUGGGAUCAUUUUUACUAAGACAAUAGUACUGGAUCAUGCUUUACCAUUGCAAUCUAGUUCUGCCCAGUUUCUUUGAUUCUUUCUCCAUAAAUUUGCUUGGUAAUAGGUCUGGUUGAUUGAUUGUUAGUACCAAUUUGUUACUUCACAUUUUGCCUUUACUGGCACUGUAAGAUGUCCAUGCUACUCUCUCAGAUCACCGCCAAGCAGGCUAGUGUGGACUGCCGAUGUGUCAUAUGUUGAGAACCCCAAAGUAUUUAGCAUAUUGAUUUACUACUCUUUUCCAGUGCGUUUUGCAGGUUUUAGAGCAGGGCUACAAGGUCAAGGGUCAACAACUAGCACAUGGCAAAUCUAAUUAUGUAAUGAGUGAAAAGAGUUCUCCAGUGCAGCUCCAGAGUCGUAAUGGUCUUCUUCCCACUGCACUUGAUGCAGUACCCACCACAAACUCUGAAGCUUUUUGCUUUCUUGUGUUGCUUCAGAACUUUUUUUAAGAGAUUGAAGGUUCUUCAUAUUAGAAUCAAUCUUGUGCUUAGUCUCAUACAUUGGUUGAUAAUGUUGUAAUAAUUAGCCAAUAUCCGUGGACUGAAUACUGUUGCCCCCUGAGUUCAAGUGA